rnacentral:rRNA from 1 species
AGAGUUUGAUCGUGGCUCAGAUUGAACGCUGGCGGCAGGCCUAACACAUGCAAGUCGAACGGUAACAGGAAACAGCUUGCUGUUUCGCUGACGAGUGGCGGACGGGUGAGUAAUGUCUGGGAAACUGCCUGAUGGAGGGGGAUAACUACUGGAAACGGUAGCUAAUACCGCAUAACGUCGCAAGACCAAAGAGGGGGACCUUCGGGCCUCUUGCCAUCAGAUGUGCCCAGAUGGGAUUAGCUAGUAGGUGGGGUAACGGCUCACCUAGGCGACGAUCCCUAGCUGGUCUGAGAGGAUGACCAGCCACACUGGAACUGAGACACGGUCCAGACUCCUACGGGAGGCAGCAGUGGGGAAUAUUGCACAAUGGGCGCAAGCCUGAUGCAGCCAUGCCGCGUGUAUGAAGAAGGCCUUCGGGUUGUAAAGUACUUUCAGCGGGGAGGAAGGGAGUAAAGUUAAUACCUUUGCUCAUUGACGUUACCCGCAGAAGAAGCACCGGCUAACUCCGUGCCAGCAGCCGCGGUAAUACGGAGGGUGCAAGCGUUAAUCGGAAUUACUGGGCGUAAAGCGCACGCAGGCGGUUUGUUAAGUCAGAUGUGAAAUCCCCGGGCUCAACCUGGGAACUGCAUCUGAUACUGGCAAGCUUGAGUCUCGUAGAGGGGGGUAGAAUUCCAGGUGUAGCGGUGAAAUGCGUAGAGAUCUGGAGGAAUACCGGUGGCGAAGGCGGCCCCCUGGACGAAGACUGACGCUCAGGUGCGAAAGCGUGGGGAGCAAACAGGAUUAGAUACCCUGGUAGUCCACGCCGUAAACGAUGUCGACUUGGAGGUUGUGCCCUUGAGGCGUGGCUUCCGGAGCUAACGCGUUAAGUCGACCGCCUGGGGAGUACGGCCGCAAGGUUAAAACUCAAAUGAAUUGACGGGGGCCCGCACAAGCGGUGGAGCAUGUGGUUUAAUUCGAUGCAACGCGAAGAACCUUACCUGGUCUUGACAUCCACGGAAGUUUUCAGAGAUGAGAAUGUGCCUUCGGGAACCGUGAGACAGGUGCUGCAUGGCUGUCGUCAGCUCGUGUUGUGAAAUGUUGGGUUAAGUCCCGCAACGAGCGCAACCCUUAUCCUUUGUUGCCAGCGGUCCGGCCGGGAACUCAAAGGAGACUGCCAGUGAUAAACUGGAGGAAGGUGGGGAUGACGUCAAGUCAUCAUGCCCCUUACGACCAGGGCUACACACGUGCUACAAUGGCGCAUACAAAGAGAAGCGACCUCGCGAGAGCAAGCGGACCUCAUAAAGUGCGUCGUAGUCCGGAUUGGAGUCUGCAACUCGACUCCAUGAAGUCGGAAUCGCUAGUAAUCGUGGAUCAGAAUGCCACGGUGAAUACGUUCCCGGGCCUUGUACACACCGCCCGUCACACCAUGGGAGUGGGUUGCAAAAGAAGUAGGUAGCUUAACCUUCG